AGCAAGUUUGUGUUGCGGUAAUGGGACUCAAUGGCCUUUAAAAAAACUGAUGAAGAAGAUGAAGAUUGGUAAUACUUUAAGAAUUGUCCCAUUUUCUAUUACUAAUGGGAAAUAAAAUUAUCGUACUAUACCAAGAAUAUAAAUAUAUACCUAUCUAACGUAUCAGUAAAGCUAUGCAUAGUUAAAUCCUAAUCUACGAAAUCUGAGCG